rnacentral:rRNA from 1 species
CGGAGGGUGCAGGCGUUAUCCGGAUUCACUGGGUUUAAAGGGUGCGUAGGUGGGCAAGUAAGUCAGUGGUGAAAUCUCCGGGCUUAACCCGGAAACUGCCAUUGAUACUAUUUGUCUUGAAUACUGUGGAGGUCAGCGGAAUAUGUCAUGUAGCGGUGAAAUGCUUAGAUAUGACAUAGAACACCAAUUGCGAAGGCAGCUGGCUACACAAAUAUUGACACUGAGGCGCGAAAGCGUGGGGAUCAAACAGGAUUAGAUACCCUGGUAGUCCACGCCCUAAACUAUGGAUACUCGACAUUUGCGAUAAACUGCAAGUGUCUGAGCGAAAGCAUUAAGUAUCCCACCUGGGAAGUACGAUCGCAAGAUUG